AGGAGAACUACCUCGUGACCGCGUUCGAGCUCCUCCACGAUGGCCGCGACGCUCAGCCCAUUCGCCUCAAAGAUUUCUUCUCCGAUCCCUCUCGCUUCACUCUCGAUCAGAUAUCUCGGUGUAUUCGCGAAUUUUCAACUUUGCAAAGUUAAGUUGAAGCGACGGGAACCAUUUUUUUUACAAUCAAAGUUUGACUUAGGUUUCGUAUUGGCGAAAGCGGAUGUUUAUGGGUUCUUGAUAGAUUUAAAAGCGGACUGUUUAAAGGUUGUGUAAAGAACAUUUGCUUAAUGUCAAAUUCUAAGUUGAAGUUUUUAGUAGUUUCUAAAAUCAUGGUCAAUGUGACGAGUGGUCGAGAAUCAUGUUUUUAGGGUUUCGUCGUUGCCUACGCUUGAAAAUAAGUUCCCUACUGGCAUGAUACUGAUACAAUGUUUAAGCCCUGGUGCUGGAAUUGGACUAAGAAGACAGGUUUUGGUGGAUGCUAUUUUAGGCUUGUAUUUCUGGUUGAAAUAAUGUAAUUUCUCUUGGAGUGCGAUUGAUUCAUGUGAAGCCUUCCUUAUCCUCAUCUAUGGUGUUGUGUUGUUGUGGUCUGGUAAAGUAGUCUAAAUCUGUGUACAGAUGUGACCGAACCGGUUAAGAUUCCGGUCUGCACAUCCCAAAAUCUGAUAUUGGAACGAUAUACUAGCGAUUUCUAUGAAAAUUUAUCACUUCCUUUACCUUCUUUCAGCAAUAGAAAGGAGAGAAUAUGCCCUUUACACAAUAGUAAUUCCA